ACGAAUAUAUUGUUAUUCAUGUAAUUUACUCGAUCCCAUUUCGAAUUCGAUUUUUGUAAAAUUUUCUUGCGCCAAAAAUACUAUUUAAUGGUAAAAUUGGUUGU
rnacentral:rRNA from 1 species